GAUUAAGGCCCCAUUGAGUGUGGCAUUUCGGUCGGCAACAAAUUUGAAAGGACAAAGAGCUAAAAAUUUGUUAAAAUGGAGGGAAAUUAAGUGUCCUACACAACCCGGUAGUGUGGAGUGCGGAUAUUAUGUCUUGCGAUAUAUGUUUGAGAU